UACGUAGGGGGCUAGCGUUGUCCGGAUUUACUGGGCGUAAAGCGCGUGUAGGCGGCUUGGCAAGUCGGAUGUGAAAGUCCACGGCUCAACCGUGGAAGCGCAUCCGAAACUGCUUCGCUCGAGUCUCGGAGAGGAAGGUGGAAUGCUUGGUGUAGAGGUGAAAUUCGUAGAUAUCAAGCAGAACACCUGCGGCGAAGGCGGCCUUCUGGACGAUGACUGACGCUGAGACGCGAAAGCGUGGGGAGCAAACAGG
rnacentral:rRNA from 1 species